AAGCCGGUAGGCUUCUUUGCCUACUCCCCCCGUUCGCUAUCCUGCCCUUUGCGCGCGGCCCUCGUCCUCCCGCGCGCGCUGGUCCCGUUCCCGCGCGCCAGCAAUCCUUCCGCUCGCCGUCGAGCCACCCAGGGAGGCGCGCCUCCGCCCGCCGUCGAUCCGCCCAGGGAGGCGUGCCUCCGCCCGCCGUCGAGCUGCCCAGGGGGUCGUGCCUCCACCCUCCGUUGAGCUGUCCAGGGUGCCGUGAGUUGCCCAGGGAGCCACGCCUCGGCCCACCGUCGAGGACCCCCCGGCGUAGAGAAUCCCCUCCGUCUUCAUGUACAGGCCGCUGCGCUGGUCGAUGGCGGAUCGUGCAGCGGGGAUGUGGAAUCCUCCCUCUGCUACUGUUCCCUUUGGUCAGGAUGUCCAGGCAAGGUUCGAUCUGUUCGAACAUGAGGAAGAGGACGUGGAGGAGGCACACACAGGUGGUAUGGGUUCAAGGUCAUACACAGAUCUCGUAAUGAAUGGUUUUCAAGAAUCUGAAGAUGCUCCACUCCUGUUCAUGCCACGGACGAGAGGGAUCGCGUGUUCUGUUGAUGGUCGGGACGGCCUGCUGUAGGCGGCUCUUCCUGGUCUUGCAAAAAUCGUAGUUGCCCGGCCACCGAAGGAGAGGAGGAUCGGAGGGAGUUCCCGAAGGAGAGGAGGAUCGGAGGGACUUCCUGAAGGAACGGAUCGCGGCGCGCAGUGCCUGCCCAUCAAAGGAGAGGACGAUCGGAAGGGGGCCGCUGAAUGAAAGAAUGGCGUGCGGUGCCUGCCCACCAAAGGAGACGACGAUCGGAAGGGGGCCACUGCAGGAGAUAGGGUCCCACACGAUUUGAAUAUGAAGAAUCUAGAUUUAUACCUACUCUGUUGGUUUUCCCCCUCUUAAGGAACCUUUGCAUUUUUUUUACACACCUUCCAACUAGCUAAAUUUAUCUAUGAUUAUUGCUAAUCUGUUGGAGUU